GUCCCCUUUACCGGUGCACGUGCAUCUGUGCGAGCCUGCGGCAGGACUCCCGGUUGCUGUGCUUUCGGCAGCAAGGGCGCAAUUGGCCCAGGAGUCCUGGUGGGAGAAGGCAGCAGCCAGAGCACACCACUUCAGUACCUUACCAGCCUCACCACUCCCUUCCUAGGACAGUCUCUGCACUGUGCCUUACUUUGGAGUUCCUGAGCCUGGAGCAGCAUGGUAUCCAGAGAGUGGCAGUUUGCACUGGGCGACGAACACAAAUGUGGCCAUCUUUCCAGAAUUGUGGAUUCAGUUCGUGCACCGGAGUACCACUGCACUGGCACUGGUGAGUAUUCUUCAGUCUCUCCUGUGUAGUUUCCCUGUUUCCCCCCAGUACUGGUGUUUAACCCCAG
rnacentral:lncRNA from 1 species